CCUCAUUAUACCCUCCUGAACCACCCAGGUGAAUCAUCUUCCUCAUUAUACACUCCUGAACCACCCAGGUGAAUCAUCUUCCUCAUUACACACUCCUGAACCACCCAGGUGAAUCAUCUUCCUCAUUACACACUCCUGAACCACCCAGGUGAAUCAUCUUCCUCAUUAUACCCUCCUGAACCACCCAGGUGAAUCAUCUUCCUCAUUAUACACUCCUGAACCACCCAGGUGAAUCAUCCUCCUCAUUAUACACUCCUGAACCACCCAGGUGAAUCAUCUUCCUCAUUAUACACUCCUGAACCACCCAGGUGAAUCAUCUUCCUCAUUAUACACUCCUGAACCACCCAGGUGAAUCAUCUUCCUCAUUAUUCACUCCUGAACCACCCAGGUGAAUCAUCUUCCUCAUUAUUCACUCCUGAACCACCCAGGUGAAUCAUCUUCCUCAUUAUUCACUCCUGAACCACCCUGGUGAAUCAUCCUCCUCAUUAUACACUCCUGAACCACCCAGGUGAAUCAUCUUCCUCAUUAUUCACUCCUGAACCACCCAGGUGAAUCAUCUUCCUCAUUAUACACUCCUGAACCACCCAGGUGAAUCAUCUUCCUCAUUAUUCACUCCUGAACCACCCAGGUGAAUCAUCUUCCUCAUUAUUCACUCCUGAACCACCCAGGUGAAUCAUCUUCCUCAUUAUACACUCCUCAACACUCCUGAACCACCCAGGUGAAUCAUCUUCCUCACUAUACACUCCUGAACCACCCAGGUGAAUCAUCUUCCUCAUUAUUCACUCCUGAACCACCCAGGUGAAUCAUCUUCCUCAUUAUACACUCCUGAACCACCCAGGUGAAUCAUCUUCCUCAUUAUUCACUCCUGAACCACCCAGGUGAAUCAUCUUCCUCAUUAUUCACUCCUGAACCACCCAGGUGAAUCAUCUUCCUCAUUAUACACUCCUCAACACUCCUGAACCACCCAGGUGAAUCAUCUUCCUCAUUAUUCACUCCUGAACUACCCAGG